ensembl:lncRNA
CUAGUUUAAGUUGUAAAAAAAGGGGCUAAGGUUCACCAAUGUUCCCAACUGAAAAGUUUUAUUAAAACACAUGUUUUAGACAUUUUCGAAAUGUUUUGAAAAAACAUUAAGUAAACUUAGUCCACUAAUGCGAAGUCACCGAAAAUUUUUUCCUUACCGAUUAGUUUAAAAAACUUUUAUUACAAAAGUCAUCAAUGCAGAUUCUUCUCUGACUUUGUAUUAAGUUCAGCCAAAUUUUGUUAUGUGAGAUCAUCCUUUAGGUUAUUUCAGCUUGUGAACCGCCAUACACUACAGCUUUCUGCCUCCACUAAACACUGCCAUGGAGGUGGGAAUGGAGGCCUUGGAGGGAAAGCAGAAGGCGUGGAUUUGGCUUCUGGUCUGAUUUUGCUUCAAGAUUCAGAGAUGUAUAGGUUUAUCACGCUCUUGCUAAACUGAAUGACUUCAACCCUUGGUGUCCCGUUUCCUUGUUUUUUCAUGUUCCUUGAAGUCUUGCCUUGCUGUCUUCACCCCUGAAGAAGCAGUCACUUCCUCCAUCAAGCGACUGGCUUCAGGAGAGAAACACACACCUUGGGUCGCCCUGAGAGGGACUGAGGCGUUCUCAGACCGUUUCUGUGGCCACGUGUGCUCCACACUUCUUGUUCCUUCUUGGGAGGGAAUUCUUAAGGUUGUCUGCCUUCUCUGGAUGCUGCAGAGCCAGGCCGGUGCGGGCAGCCUCCCUUUUGCUUUCUCCAGGUCCCAUUGAACGCUGAAGUUUGCAUGCUUUCUCUCCAUCCCGCUCACUAGCCAUCUGCGAAGACUCACCAACCUUGGGUGGGGGUCGGGUGCGCACCCACAGCACCGGCCAGGGGGUGGGGGUGUGGGGACUGAGAUGUGCGCAGCACUGGGGUGUCCGUGGGCCGUCUGGGGAGAUCCGCAGGCAAGCUGUCCCCAGCAGCUUGUGGGUGGGCUUCCUGAUGGAGUCCGCAAAGUGGCUGGUAGAAUGGUCCUUUCGAUGCCCUCCGAGAGCCCGGGCUGCCUUCUCCCAGCCCCCUCCGCCCCCCACCGGUCGUGCAGCACACCCGGCGUUCUGGAUGCGGGGAGAGAGAGAAGUGGGCAGGCUCCCCUACAGUUGGGGAAGCCAGACGCUCACGCCCACGCCCUCACCUCCCCCUUGGGGAGAAAUCGCUGUGUGCUGGAAUUUCGCGGGUGUCUGGGAUUCCCACAAAGGUGCUCUUAUCCGCGGAUGAUGUUCAACAUCAGUGUUCGUUGGGGUUCAAGAUGAGUCAAGGCUCAAGCAGGCUUGAAGUCCUCCAACAGACAAGCCCUAAUGGACAAGGACAAGGAAACCACUACCCUAACUUCUGACUUCACAAACUAUUUUUGCCUGAUUUUCAACUUAGGAAUGGAAGCCACUGUCCCUCACUUACUGCUCCUCCCGUCUACUCCAGCUCCUGCCUUGGACACAGACAACAAGCUGGAACAGCCAGCUGGGAAGCCCUAUGCUAAUGGCACAGCUCACACCCCAAUAGAAAAUCCAUUGUUCUCUGGAGAAGAGAAAGUCAUGCAAACCGGGAGAAAACGCAGCAUUCAAGAG